ensembl:lncRNA
UUGCUUUGCCAGGCCUCAGCUUCCGCACCUACAAGGUGGGGCGGUCGCUGUGAAGAGUGAAUGAGAGGCAGCCUGGGAAGCAUUUUGGCACGUUGACAACAUCUGCCCCGACUGGGGUGGGAGAACACGAACUCCCUGAUGGGCAGCUGGGGCCUGGGGCAGAGCAGAGCCGCAGGAGAUGCAGGUGUCUGCUGCGCCCAACCUCUAGAGGCCAGAGAAAAACUGAGGGGAGCAGCCUCAACCCCCACAUUCCCUGAAGCUGCAGCUUCCCCUUCCUUGUGCUCAAAAUGGAUUGUUUCAGUUCCAGCUUUAAUUCCCAUCGAGCAGGAGGUGAGAAGGGGAAGUGGAAAAAGAGAAGAGAAAUCAGAUUCCCUCCCUCCCUGUGCCCUCCUCUGCCAAGUUUGUCUGCUUGUGUGGCCAGCCGGAUACCACAGGCGCAAACCAACCCCGUGCCUUGUUGCCUGAAUUGAAAACCUGAAUUGAAAGCGGAAACCAGCAGAGGUUGACCCCUUGCGGGGUGAGGGGCGUCAGUGUUCCUCCCGAUGGUGCACCUGGAGUGGAGGUGGGUGCUGAACGCCUGGUGUCAGGGAAAUGCUCCCUGGCAGCCGGACAGACUCCACACUAGGCCUGCGCCCUGCCAGGGUCCCUGGGGGCUCCUGAGAGCCGUAUCGACCGGAUGUGGGAUCUGAGAACAAGGCUUGAUUUCAUCUGGGCCUAAGUGGGAGAAGGGCUGGGAACUGGGUCCGGAGGACCUGAGGUUGGGAACCCAGCUCUGAGCUUGCUUGGUGCCAGCCCUGCAGGGGAGGCCCCCUCUGUGUAUUGACCUGCCCUCAGCCCUCAUCAGUUGCCCCCCACCGCCCCCCCCUGCUGCCCCGGGCAGUCUCCUGGCGCCAUCUCCUGGCCAAAGGCCCUUAUUGCAGGGAAGACAUUCCUGGCGGAAUCCUCUGGAGUGGGGAGCAGGGGAGCAGGGACUUUGGGGGACAGUGGAAAAGGGGGUGUAGAGUGAGAAAGAUCUUGUUGAAGUGCCCCCAGACUGGGACACCUCAGGACACUCACUAGCCCUUCCUGAGCCUUAGUUCCUUUAUGGGUACCAUGCAAAGUAUCACCCCACGACUGCCUGCCCAGAACUGCAGGUGAAACAUGUGACACGGGGUGGGCGGUUGAGAAAUCAGUGUCACCUGGUGCUGAAGACCUGAAACCACCGGACACUAGGGUGACCCGAGGGAGCCCAGGGCAGGGCCUGGAAUUGAUUCACUGCCCUGACAAACGCUGGCUGCAAGGGCGGCCCACACACAUGGUUUCGUUUAGUUCUGACAGCAGCCUGUGUCCGCACCAGUGAUCCCUCUCGUCUUACAGAUGAGAAAACCACACGAACAGUGCAGCUAUUCAGAGAAGGUGCGUGGAAGUGUCCCAGGCAGAGGAGGCAGCCCGGGAAAGGCCCCCGGAAAGCCCGGGGCGGGGGCAGGCUGGCAGCCGGGGGCCCCGGCAGGCUUGGGAGUAGAGCAGUGGCCCCUGGGCUCUGCUUGAGGUUUUGAGGCCCAUCCCCUCGGGCUUCCCAUUUGAGCCCCUCUUCGCACAACUCACCCCACACUCUGGUGGCGACACUUGCUCUUCAUUUCUCGCUCAGGGUAGACUCGUCCCCUGCCUCCAUGCCCCGGCCUGGCCUGCCCUCUUCAUGCUUUUUAUGUGUCCAAGUUCCCGCAGCCUUUUAUUUUAUUUCAUGUCACUUGAUUUUGUUUUUCCUUUUUUGGCCGUCCCACAGCAUAUGGAGUUCCCCGGGCCAGGGGUCAGAUCCGAGCCACAGAUGUGACCCAUGCCACAGUUGCGGCAAAGCCGGAUCCUUUAACCCACUGUGCCAGGCCAGGGAUCAAACUUGCAUCCUGGCACUGCAGCGGGGACACCUUCCCCCCGCCCAGCAGCCCAUGUGCCUUCUCUGGGAGCCCUUCCAGGUGCC